rnacentral:rRNA from 1 species
GGAAUAUUGGACAAUGGCCGGGAGGCUGAUCCAGCCAUGCCGCGUGAGGGAGGACGGCCCUAUGGGUUGUAAACCUCUUUUGUCGGGGAGCAAUAAGUAUUACGCGUAAUACGAUGAGAGUACCUGGCGAAUAAGCAUCGGCUAACUCCGUGCCAGCAGCCGCGGUAAUACGGAGGAUGCGAGCGUUAUCCGGAUUUAUUGGGUUUAAAGGGUGCGUAGGCGGGUGCUUAAGCGUGAGGUGAAAGCUCGGAGCUCAACUCCGGAACUGCCUAGCGAACUGGGUGCCUUGAAUGUCCGUGCCGUGGGAGGAAUGUGUGGUGUAGCGGUGAAAUGCAUAGAGAUCACACAGAACACCGAUUGCGAAGGCAUCUCACGAACGGAUGAUUGACGCUGAGGCACGAAAGCGUGGGGAUCAAACA